AACCCCCAGCUAGGCUGGGGGUUCCGGAAAGCUUUCAGCUUUAAGCCAGUUAUUAAAACCCCUUUUGAUUUGUUAAAACAUCUUGCGGUCUGGCAACUGCAAAAAGUUCAACAAAGAAAAUCCAAAAG
rnacentral:sRNA from 1 species